rnacentral:lncRNA from 1 species
AAAUCACUAAAUGACGUGCAUUGUAUGAAACUAAUUCUAUAUGACGUGCACAUGAUUUUUAUUUUCCUAAUAAGCAUGCAAUCUAUUUAGGAGAAAUUAUCUAAACCUAUAAUAUGCAAUCUUAGCAUGCAAUGACGUGCAAAGAAUGCCCUAAUUCUACAUGACAUAUGCAUAAUGACAUUUUUUGUGUUUUUCCUUUUUUCCCUUUUUUUAAAUUUCGAAAUUAAUAAUUGCCAAAUAAUUAAACAUGCAAUCCAAAUUAAAAAAAAGAACUAGCAACCUAAAUUAAUUGAUUUGAUUUUUUUAUUUUUGAAAAUUCGAAAUAAAAUUCCUAUUAUGAACAUGCAAACCCUAAAACUACAUUUUUUGAUUUUUUUUUUAAAGAAAACUAAUUUAAGUAACACCACAGCAAAUCAAGCCAUAUUGAUUUCCAAAUCGACGAACCAUAUCUCGCGCAUGAGAUCGGGUUGGCCAAUUUCACAUAAAUCACGAAUCGGAUCUCGAGCGGGAGAUCGGAUUGGCAAUUUUUUUAAAGUAAUUGCGAGUCGGAUUUCGAGCUUGAAAAUCGGACUGACAAUCACUAGUUGCAAUUUCAUAUCAUGGAAUUUCAAUUUCACAUUAAAGGAAUAAUUACACUAAAAAGAUAAAAUAAAAUAGCAAAAAUAAUAAAACAAAAAUAAGAUAAAGAAAAUACCUAAAUUUUCUUUUGUUUUUCUCUUUUUUUUUUCUAAAAAAGAAAAAGAAAAACAAAGCUGUGGCCGGUCCGGCGAGGGGGGGAUCACCGGCUAGGGUUCCGGCGAGGCUCCGGAGCGGCGUGUCGGCAGCGAGGCAGCAGGGAGCGUCGCGGGUCUGCUCGGGCUGGAGGCGAAGCGGAGGUGGCGUCGGGGCGGCACGGGCCUGCGUCGCGGGGGCUGCGUCGGGGCGCUCGGAUCACGGGCUUCAGCCGGCGGGGCGCUGCAGGGACGGCGGGAGGCCUCUGGUGGCUGCGAUGAGGAGCUCCGGCGUCUGGAUCGGGCUGUUGGGCGCGGCGUCCAGUGAGAGAACCGGAUCAGGGGCGAGCGUCGCGGCGAGGAGCAAGGGCAGCGUCAGAUGUGGGUCUUCAACGAGGCUCGGCACCGGUGAAAGGGAAGCCUCGAGCUGGGUUCGGGCCUUCUGUCGUCGGGGACCUCGGAUUUGCAGGCGGAGGGACUCCAGCGGCUGGAUCUCGGCUCAGCUGCGGCUCUAGGUCACCGGUGGCUUGGGAUAUGACGGCCGAGACAGAUCUGCAGAGGAGGGUUGCAACGGCAGGGAUUGGCGCGGCGUCCGGGGGCUUCCUGUUGCAGGCGCAGGCAGAGGUGAGGCGGAGCGGCGGGUCGCGGGCCAGAGCAGGCGGCGGCGGUGUCGUCGAGGCUCCGGGGGCUCAGCGUCGGGCGGCGCAGUCGUCGGGCUCGCGGCUCGAGCGCCUCCGCGACGAGAUCGACGACGCGACGGCGGGUCGACGGCGACAGGGGGCGGCGAAGGCCCCCCCCUGCGGGGAAGAUGAACAGUCGCGCAAGGGGGGGAUUUUCUUUCUUUUUUCUCUUUUUUUUCUACUUUUCUCUCUCCACUCACUUUUUCACCCUUUGCUUUUUUUUACCGACGGAAAGGACCCCCUUCUCUCGUGCUUUUCUCUCUGAAUUUGUUCCCCUUCGAUAUGACCGAAUGUCUCAAAUGCGUGGCCUCUUUCCUCAACUUUGUCCGUACGCGGUGCCUUUUAUAAGCCAAAAAAUUGGAUCUUCGUGGUAUAUUUUACUUUCUAAUUUUGCUCAUGCAAAAUACCACCGAAUAUAUCGUUGCACCCCGCGUAAUAUUACAUUUUGUAUUUAUCAAAUAUCCCAUCCAAAAUUUUCCUUUUUGCUUGAAAAUAUAUCAUUUUGUGUAUAUUGCCUAAAUGUGUGAAGAAUCUGAACGGAAUAUGUGAAAAAUGUUGCACUCGCCGUUGGUCCAAUAAAAUAAACAAAAAAUGUUCCUAAACUAUAUGCCAUGUGAUUUUAUUUUUUCAGGGAUAAAAUUAACCCCUAAUUUUUUAAAUGUCUAAAUGGGUCGCCAAAAUUUAGGUGUCAACAGCUGCCCCUCUUUGAAGGUGAGCUCGUAGAGGUUGCCUUCAAAGACAAAUUGAGACCUAAAUUUUGACCAUGCACAUGCAGUGAAUGAUUUUUUGUUGGAACGUGAAUUCCAUUUUUUAAUGCAAUUUAUAUGAUGCAUGGAAAUGCUAAUGCAAAUGAUAGAUGAACCUACCUGGGAUAACUUACCUUCGAGGAGGAUAAAGUAAUUCGAGAUAGUGAGUGUUACCCGUCCAGGACCCGUACCAUUCUACGGUCGCCUAGAAUAGUAACAUGACUUUGUGAAGAUGCUGCUUUCCCAGGACCCGUACCAUUCUACGGUCGCCCAGUAUGGCAGAAAGGAGCUGCUUUCUCAGGACCCGUACCAUUCUACGGUCGCCCAAUACAGCAGAAAAGUUUUGUAAGGAACUGCUUUCCCAGGACCCGUACCAUUCUACGGUCGCCCAGUACGGCAGAAAUAUUUUGUCUAGGACCCGUACCAUUCUACGGUCGCCUAAACGGGGAUUCAUUUUCCAGGACCCGUACCAUUCUACGGUCGCCUGAAUAAGGAAUAGGUGUUGUCAAGGACCCGUACCAUUCUACGGUCGCCUCAACGAAGAAAAUUAUUUUUCCAGGACCCGUACCAUUCUACGGUCGCCUGAAUGAAGAAAUUGCUUUUCCAGGACCCGUACCAUUCUACGGUCGCCUGUUAGAGCAAUAAAUGUUGUCUAGGACCCGUACCAUUCUACGGUCGCCUAGACUGAGGUUUUGCUUGGCUAGGACCCGAACCAUUCUUCGGUCGCCCAACCUUGCGACAGAAAUCAUCUAACCAGGACCCGAACCAUUCUUCGGUCGCCUUAAUCAGAUUGAAUCUGGAGGAAAAAUCUUUGGGGGACAACUCAAUUGAGUGUCGGUAUGCUUAAAAGGGAAUACCUGUGCAAUGACAAAUAUUCAAGGUAUGGAUAGAGAUAUACUUACCUGGUGAUAUCUCUGAUUCCUGGGGAUAUGACUUUUGAAAUUUAGAUAUCAUGUGGAGGUCUUCCACUUCAUGGUGGAGGCUUCUAAUAUCAUGAAACAUUUUGAAAGGAACUUGAAUUACCUGUCAGACAUGGUUUAGAGCAAAAACUGAUAUGCAUUCAUCAAAGAGAUAGACAAUCUGAGCUACUCUAGAAUGCACAUUUCAAAAUUUAGUGAGGUUUUCAUCAACUCAAUCGGGGUUCAUGCAUAAUGACCUUUGCAUCACCCAAAUUUCGACUGGAGAGAAUUAUCAUUCAAGACAAUCUUCACUCAUAACAUGGAUUUCCUAAGAAUACUAAAUAAGAGACCUUCAGUUAGAAAGGACUUUCACUCACUCUCAUUUAGAGGCUAUUUUAUGAGAAUCACUCCAUCUCACUAUCAUCAUACCAACAAGGGUCCGAGUAUUCUCGCAAGCGGUACAACCUUACCAAUCUGAGAGGUCUUUAAUAGGGACUGUAAUGUGGGCUUGGUCAACGGCUUAACAAAAGGGACUCUUUGAGUCAAGGCAAUUGAAAGAACAAUUUUGUAAUAAUCUCCGGGUUUACAAGUCAAGAACCCUGCAAAAUGAGAAAGAUAUAAUCUUGCUCGCACUCUUUCGAGCGAUGCUUAAAACAUGUGAACCCCUAUGUUAAUUCAAGUGCCCUAAUCUGAAGAGGCUUUGUAAAGGACGUAACGUAAGCUGGGUUCAUGGGUUGAGAAAUGAAAGGAUCAUUAGGCUCAAAAUGUGUGUAAAUGGUGAAAGUUGGUGAUCAUCUUGGCAUUACCACCGGUUUUCUUUUUCAUCAUCAAGGAUUGUCUUCAUGAAAUGCCCCAUGAUUGUAAAAACUCAACUUUUGAGUUCUUUGAGUAUUGCUUCAUCAGGAUUCAAUUCUUGCAAUUGACAGUCACCUUAUCUUGACUCUCUUUUUUCAUCUAUGGGCAUUGGCCUUGCUUUUACCAGGCACACUGCUUUUCAUGCCCCAAGUUCUUAUUCUUCUUUUUUUUUUUUUCACCUUUUUUUUUUAUGGGCAUUGGCCUUGCUUUUACCCGACACACUGCUUUUUCAUGCCCCUUAGUUCUAUUUUGAUUUCUAUGCAUGCGUAAAAUAAUGACACUCGAAUUUUCAAGGGUCUUCAUCUGCCUUUUGCCUUGCCCCAGUGUGAGGGAUGAUCACCAACUAGGUUUAAUGUGAAAUGAAUUCAUAGGCUCAAAUGGGCUAUGCAAUGGAUAAAAGUGUGUACGAUAGAGAAAGAACUGCUCUUCAUCAUUCUAAGGCACUUAAAUUACCACAUGAAUUCAAUGUAAUAGCAUGACAAGAAGAUUGAUGCAAGUGAGAGCAAGAAAAUUUCAAUCCAUUUUCUUCACCUUAUGGUACCAUCUUACCUCCAAUUUGCCCCGAUGUGGGGUGGCUCUUGACAGGGGUAAUUUGAAAAGAAUCUCCACAAGUGUAUGGGGCUCAAAAGGGGUUAAGCAAUGUAUCACCUGUAGUGUUUGGGAUAGAGAAAUGAACUGCCCCUCAUCAUUUCGGUCAUCGUACAUUUUGCGAGAGAACUCUUUACCUUAUAGAUAUGGAACUUCCUACACUCAUCUCACAAGUGUAUAAGUAGGGGUUUGUGUAUAGGAUAGGGCUUGCCUUUCAUCAUCCUUAUACGUCUCAUUCAGCGUUCUUAAACAUUGAUGUCACUCCAUUGAGUUGUCUAUCUUGACAAAUCUCCACAUGAAAUUGGUGAGCUAAAUCAAUAUGAAAAUUUUCUUUUCAAAAGAGUUCAGCAACUUUACUUCAAACAAACAAUUUAUUACACUAAAAAAAAUGUUCUCACAAGUAUGAAAAACAUGAUUUCAAGCAUUCAUUCAAGGAAUUGUCCCACGAAAGGACUAUCUCAGCAAUGGGUGUCCUUAGAUUGCCCCUAUUGAAAAGGGAACAAACACAAAUUGAUCAAUUGAGGAUGAAAAUCCGAUCUUUGAUUUGAUGAAAUCUUGCUUUUGCCCCUGCACAAAACAACGUGCAUGAAUAGGAUACUAUUAAAAUAAAUUCAAAUUGCACAACCAUUUUGGCUCGGAUCGAGAUUUUGUCUCAGUCAUGUCACUACUAGAACCUGUAGUGCCCCCAGUUCGUCAUCUGCAAGGAAAAGAACAAAGCGUCAUCACCCAAAAUUAUUUAUGUUUAAAGACGAGAUGUACCUCUUUCAUCAAAGAUGGAUGAUCUUCUUUUAACUUGCCCCUCAUUUAAUGGGCGAGAAUGAAAAUUCCGUCAAGCAUGGAAAUGGAACACACUUUGUUUGGCCCUUCAAGAUGGAUAUUUCAAGUAGUAUCGAGAUGUGACCGACAUUAACUCUUUAGAAACUUGUUGAGUAACAAUUGAACCAAUUGCAACCUGAUGUGCCUUUUUCAGAUGCUUUCUUAUCGAGUCAAGAAAGUAAUGCUCUGAAACAUGAAGUAAAUGAGUCAGAAAAUUAAACAGGGCUAACCUAAUGCAUGCUUUUAGAAAUGGCUUGAAAAAUGAUUUUUUUUAUAUAUGAGGAAGCAUAAAGAAGCCCAGUCCUCAGAAUUUCUCCAUGGAUGGUGUUUUUUCAUUGUUGGAUAUCGUCACCGGACUGGUUUGGCAUACCCCAUCAUGUCCUCAAAACAAAACUUGUAAUUUUAUUGAUAUUCAUCAAUCAAAUUACAUUUAUUGAAAUGAAAAAUGUGAUAUUCAAGCACUAAAGCAAAACAGGAGAAAUUUUUACCAAUCUCUGAAAAGCAAUAAGAAUUCCCACAUAGGAGAAGGUGCAAUUGAACAUGCCCCUAAUUAAAUAAGGAAAGCAAACUACUUAGGAUCAUGAAUCAUGUGUGCUUGAGUUCUUCACCCUCCUUGAUCUUGUGAUGCAAAUCCUCUAGGUCAGAGAUUAUUCCUUCUAGAUAUAUCACCAGUCUCUUCAUAGUGGCAUCAAAUUCAGCUACCUCAGGAAAAUAGGACGGUUCAAAAGUCCUCUUGGCUCUCUUCUGCGAGUCGUAGUGUCUCACUGAAGAUAGAGUACCUAUGUCAUCACACCCAUUUUGCUUGAUGAGACAAGCCACAGAAGCGGACAAUUCAUCGACUUGACUUUGGAGGUACGCAAUUCGUUUGUUUAUAUUGACAAUGAUAUGGUCCAACACCUCAUUUUGAUCCGCCAUUUUAGCUCUCGGUUGUGUACGGAUGGGUGAGCGAGAUCACCUAAAGAAAAUAAAUGGGAACAUGUAAGCAUGAGGCGUAAGCAUGAGGCGUAAUUAGAAAGUCAAUCCAUGACAAUGAUCUAAUCGAUUUUUCCAUUUUUUUUUUAUUUAUUCAUGAAAAGUUCUUACAAGAAGGGCAUUUCCUAAAAAUGGACUAGGAAAAUAAAGAUAGACACCCUAACAAGACCAAAUUUCCUAAACAUGAAUUGAAAACAAAUUCUCCAAAGCUUCUUUUUUGGCAAAUGAUUCAUUGCAUAGCAAUUUCCUCAUUUCAUUUCUAAUUGACAAAUGAAUUAGAUCAAACGACUAAUCUAGAUUGUCAUGGAUGGACCAAAAGUAAAUUGCAUAGUAUAGGGAUAGAAGACUUACUUCACCAAGGAAAAUCAAUGGCAAUCACAUAGACAUGCGCAUGAUAAGUGGCUCGAUUUCUACUCUAUAAGGCUUAUCAAGGUGGAGCCACAAGGAUGAUCGGACUAGCCACGAGCUUGUGGACUAUGUCGGGUCCUCAUGACUCCGGCUUGGUCAAAGAGCCGACCCGGGUCGCGAGCAUGCGGACCGAGGUGGGUACUCUUGACACCAUGAAAGAAACUUCGGGAUUGAGAUGGGCGACUCGUACCGCGAGCAUGCGGUCGGAGUGGCAAACAUCUCAAUACCAUCCUAGAUGAUCCUAAUGCGGCCCAGGUCCGGCGGCAGGUUGUGUGUGCAAUAGUGUAGUGCAAAUGCAAGGCAUGCACAACAGUUUAUAUCAAGCAACACUUCGUGUAUGAAAAUAAACCAUACAUUCCUACAUCUCCCUGCAAAACAAAGGUCAGCAAACACUUCCCCUUAUACCUCCCAUCCUGCAAGAACAUUUAACACCUUAAAUGUUAAGGACGUACCUGGAAUCCUCGCUGCCAAACAAAAAUUCUUUCAAAAGAAAAGAAAAAAUUGGCCUAAGUCCACUAAGAGUUUUAAUUCAAGUCCCCAGUGGAGUCGCCAAGCUGUCGCGACCUAAUUUUUUCGAGGUGUGAACCACCUAGGGUUUGGCUAAUGGAUUGUUAAGCCUAGACUUAAGUCGGGCUCUCCCAAGCCCAUACCAAUUCGCGACUUAGGUUUGAAUUGUUAACAUGCAAUUUUUUUUAAUUAGGAGUCGCCACUAAUCUAUUUUUGGUGGGUCGAUUAGAAACCCAAGUAAAAUAAUGGGAGAAUUAUUUUACUCCUACGAACCAGAGACUAUGGGUACGGGGACUUGGUUACGCUAAAAUUCUCUAACGCCCUUUCGGUACCUUUCUUUUUAUUUUAAUAAAUGUUUGGCAAGCAGUUUGGAUUGAUUUUAAAUCUAUUUUCCUAACAUGUGAGGUGACCAUGCAGGUGCACAAACCACCAAUUUAACACUCAAGAAAGCAAAUGAAUAAAUUGCAGGACUUACCUCAAAGCAACGAAAGCAUCUGCAAUGUUAAAUUAAAAUCCACAUCAACAACCCUAGAUAUGGUUUCUAAUUAACACACAAUUUUUAUUUUGUUUUCACUUAAUUAAUGAGAAUCAUGCUUUAUGCAAUGCAUGCCACUAAUUUAACAUGAAAUGAUAUGACAUGGCAACAUGACUUAGCUAUAUGACCUAAACAAUAUGACAUAACUAAGCAUGUAGUCUAUCAUAAGCAUGAGAUGAUUUAUUCUAAAUAAUUUUUUUUGUAUUUUCUAUGAGAUUCGAAAUUAAAGAAAUGCAACAUUUAAAUAUGCAAUCUAAAUUAAUCUAAUGACCUAAUUCUAAUGACAGGCAAUUUCUAAUUAAAUGCAUCUAACAAAAAUCACUAAAUGACGUGCAUUGUAUGAAACUAAUUCUAUAUGACGUGCACAUGAUUUUUAUUUUCCUAAUAAGCAUGCAAUCUAUUUAGGAGAAAUUAUCUAAACCUAUAAUAUGCAAUCUUAGCAUGCAAUGACGUGCAAAGAAUGCCCUAAUUCUACAUGACAUAUGCAUAAUGACUUUUUUUUUGUGUUUUUCCUUUUUUCCCUUUUUUUAAAUUUCGAAAUUAAUAAUUGCCAAAUAAUUAAACAUGCAAUCCAAAUUAAAAAAAGAACUAGCAACCUAAAUUAAUUGAUUUGAUUUUUUUAUUUUUGAAAAUUCGAAAUAAAAUUCCUAUUAUGAACAUGCAAACCCUAAAACUACAUUUUUUGAUUUUUUUUUUAAAGAAAACUAAUUUAAGUAACACCACGGCAAAUCAAGCCAUAUUGAUUUCCAAAUCGACGAACCAUAUCUCGCGCAUGAGAUCGGGUUGGCCAAUUUCACAUAAAUCACGAAUCGGAUCUCAAGCGGGAGAUCGGAUUGGCAAUUUUUUUAAAGUAAUUGCGAGUCGGAUUUCGAGCUUGAAAAUCGGACUGACAAUCACUAGUUGCAAUUUCAUAUCAUGGAAUUUCAAUUUCACAUUAAAGGAAUAAUUACACUAAAAAGAUAAAAUAAAAUAGCAAAAAUAAUAAAACAAAAAUAAGAUAAAGAAAAUACCUAAAUUUUCUUUUGUUUUUCUCUUUUUUUUUUUCUAAAAAAGAAAAAGAAAAACAAAGCUGUGGCCGGUCCGGCGAGGGGGGAAUCACCGGCUAGGGUUCCGGCGAGGCUCCGGAGCGGCGUGUCGGCAGCGAGGCAGCAGGGAGCGUCGCGGGUCUGCUCGGGCUGGAGGCGAAGCGGAGGCGGCGUCGGGGCGGCACGGGCCUGCGUCGCGGGGGCUGCGUCGGGGCGCUCGGAUCACGGGCUUCAGCCGGCGGGGCGCUGCAGGGACGGCGGGAGGCCUCUGGUGGCUGCGAUGAGGAGCUCCGGCGUCUGGAUCGGGCUGUUGGGCGCGGCGUCCAGUGAGAGAACCGGAUCGGGGGCGAGCGUCGCGGCGAGGAGCAAGGGCAGCGUCAGAUGUGGGUCUUCAACGAGGCUCGGCACCGGUGAAAGGGAAGCCUCGAGCUGGGUUCGGGCCUUCUGUCGUCGGGGACCUCGGAUUUGCAGGCGGAGGGACUCCAGCGGCUGGAUCUCGGCUCAGCUGCGGCUCUAGGUCACCGGUGGCUUGGGAUCUGACGGCGGAGACAGAUCUGCAGAGGAGGGUUGCAACGGCAGGGAUUGGCGCGGCGUCCGGGGGCUUCCUGUUGCAGGCGCAGGCAGAGGUGAGGCGGAGGCGGCGGGUCGCGGGCCAGAGCAGGCGGCGGCGUGUCGUCGAGGCUCCGGGGGCUCAGCGUCGGGGCGGCGCAGGUCGUCGGGGCUCGCGGCUCGAGCGCUCGCGGACGGAGAUCGACGACGGCGACGGCGGGGUUCGACGGCGACAGGGGCGGCGAAGGCCCCCCCCCUGCGGGGAAGAUGAACAGUCGCGCAAGGGGGGGCUUUUCUUUUCUUUUUUCUCUUUUUUUUCUACUUUUCCUCUCUCCACUCACUUUUUCACCCUUUGCUUUUUUUUACCGACGGAAAGGACCCCCUUCUCUCGUGCUUUUCUCUCUGAAUUUGUUCCCCUUCGAUAUGACCGAAUGUCUCAAAUGCGUGGCCUCUUUCCUCAACUUUGUCCGUACGCGGUGCCUUUUAUAAGCCAAAAAAUUGGAUCUUCGUGGUAUAUUUUACUUUCUAAUUUUGCUCAUGCAAAAUACCACCGAAUAUAUCGUUGCACCCCGCGUAAUAUUACAUUUUGUAUUUAUCAAAUAUC